UUUUUUUUUUUAGGUUUUAGGUUUUAGGCCACAUUUUUAACUUGGGUUGGGUUGGAUUUGGGGGGGGGGGGAAUAGAAGGGGAAAUUUAGGUUAUAAGCCAGGGUUGGAGUUGGCCUAAGACCAAACCCAACCCUAGGCUAAAUGCUAUUUUUUAGGUUUUAUUCCCCCCCCCCAAACCCAACCCAACCCAACCCAACCCAACCCAUGCUAAAUAUACGGGCUAAAAGUUAAAAAUCUAAAAAAAGCCAGAUUUAGCCCAGGAUUAGUGGGGCUGGCCCACCAUAUAUUUGUAUUUCAAAUAUAAAACUAAAUAAAAUAAACGGUAAAAAAAUAUAUUUAACAGUCCAAAUUUAGAUCUUACGGCUAAAGUAAUUAAAUCUAACGUCCAAAUUUAAAUAUCGGAUACUCGAAAAAAACUUCUCCUAAGAAAGUUCAAAGAUUAACAUCAAGUACUAAUUAUAAGUCGCGCAUUUGUCACUUAUACAGAAUACACUUGCAAGCGUGGUAGACUAAUGAUUAAGAUGUGAUUUUCUCAUUAACUUUUAUCUUCCACAUACUCCUUUUUUUAUAGUCUUUUAUAUAUUUAAUAAAUCAAAUCAACAAAGAGAAAACGGCAGUGCGAAUAUAUACUACUUGUAAUUAGGGGUGGUUUGGUUUAGGAUAACGGACCUAAAUGGUCAAUUCAAAAACUGAACCGAAAUUGUUCGGAAAAAAGGGCAAAAAACCGAAACCAAACCAAUAUUUUGGUUUUCUCAAAAUUCGGUAAUAUCGAAAUAGUUUCAGCAUUUCGGUUCAGGCUCGAGAAUGGGCCUUCAAGUCAAAUUUUUUGGCUUCUGAUUCAAGACCAGCAAAACCCAAUUUUGCCCAAACUUUUUGAGCCCCAAAUGUUAAGCUAUGGGCCUAUGCUCAUGUGCUCUAUUCCUCUCCAUUUCCUGAGCAAAAAUACUUGUGAUUAUUAAAAUUAUUGUUGUGAAUAAUAUGUGGAUGGCCCACAUGAAUGAUUUGUUACUAUUUAUGCACAUUACUUUCACUAUUCAUUUGUAGAAAAUUUGUAAACUGAAUAGUGUUCUCUUUGCUUAUAAAAUGAAUGAGAGGUGAAGAAUGAGGAUACAUACGAAUGAGGAGAGAAACCAAACGAAAGAGGAAGAGAGAAAAGAGAGGAAGAAGAUAGGAGAUAAUAAAGAGGAUUAUCUUUGUACUCCUAUUAUUCCAAAUUAUAAAGAAAUCACAACUACUGCCCUGAGGACGUACUCCAGUCACACUGACUGUAGAGGAACCUUGUAAAUUUUGUGUUUUGUUUAUUUAUUCCACUACACACACCGUUGAUUUUACAACACGUUAUCAGCACAAAAAGCUCUAAUGUCAGUGGAAAGCACUAUCUACCUCUCACCUCCAUCAGCUAAAAUCUCACAUAUGAGAGACGGCAAACAGGGAAGAACAUCUUGUCACAAAAAUCCAUCAACCUUUCUUUUAUCACUUUUUCUUUUUAUCACUCUAACUGUUGAUGUGUUAAUCCUUAUCCUUGCUAGACUUGCAAUCUCGUCUUUCUCUCAUGGACAAGAGAGAUGGAGAGAUCUUACAGACAAACAAAGGUGCAGAAAAACAAGCAAGGGUAUGUCCAUUUUUCGUCUCUCCCACCGCGCCAGAAGCGCCCCUAUCGAAUUCCGUUGAGAAUUGAAAUUUACAAUGACCUAUAGUCGUCACGAUAUGAGAAAACUCGUACCUGACAACUAGUUUUCAGAGAUCCAGAAGAAUCUCAUCAGACUUGGAAACUCAGAUUGCGUCGUUCUCGAUAGAUCUCGAGGACCUCCAUGAAUCAUCAGUUGUUUAAGAUGGUGAUGACAGGACUGACUCCACACAUGCCUCCCUUUCUUAUACCUCCAUUAACUCCACUGUCAUCUAUGUCCCUAUAGGGAAGUUCUUGCUUUGCGAUGCCAUGUUCUCUGACCCAUGCAAGAACAACACCAGUUUCUAGUUGCCUUUUUGGAUGGAAUUGGUUUUGUGUGACCUCCACAACAACCCAGCUGGUCCUGGGUUUCGAGACUGGUUGAGACAGACAAAGAAAGAAAAAAGGGGAAGUUUAUGGAAUAUGCAUGGCACUAUCUAGAAAAAGCAGAAUAAUGCAUCUGCACCAUUUGAAUGAAAAAUAAUAAUGGGGCCAAAAUUUUUGGAAUGAUGCAGCAUGUGAAUGAAAAAAUAAUAAUUAAAAAGGAAAAGAGGUGGAAUCUUGUUGCAUAAUGUCGACACAACAUGUGAAAAAGAAAUAAUAAAAAUAAAAAGAUAAAGACUUUUGGAUGGUGUUGUGCCAUCUGAAAAGAAAGAAGGAAAAAUAUAUAUUUAUUUAUGUGAAUGGUGUUGGUUUAAAAGCCUCAUCACAAGUUCUAUUUACUUUAAAGCAAUUUAUUUAUCAUGGACGAUUUUACCGCCUACUGCUUUAAGUUUUGAUUUAUGUGAAUGGUGCUGAAUUAAAGUUCUUGUCACAAGCUUUAUUUAUUUAAAUGCAAUUUAUUUACUAUGGCUGGAAUUACCACCUAUUGCUUUAAUUUAUUUAUUGUACUUAUUUUUUGUUAUGAUGAAUAUAUAACAAUGACCCGAAGUUCCUUGAUCAUAUCAGAACCUGCAGUUUCUUGAUCCUUAUCAUAUAAAAUGAUUGGACCCGAAGUUCCAUCAUACAAAAAGAGAUCAAGACAUGAAGUUCCUUGAUGAGUAUCUUAAGUUUGAAGUACCGCAGUGCCUCAACUUAAUUGUAAUAAAGGUCAUAAGAGUCUCAGUCUACACACUAUUAAAUAAGGACCAGAAGUUCCUUAUGUCCAUACUCAAAAUAGUUUAGCAGAAGCAUUUAUUAAGUGGAUGAAAUUGAUUACCCGCGCUGUGUUCAUGAAAACAAAAUUACUAGUUUUUACAUGAGUACAUGCUAUUUUGCAUGAUGCAUUAUUAAUUCGGUUGAGAUUUAUUACCAACUAUCAAUACUUCUUAGUACAACUCGUGUUUGGAAACCAGCCAAACAUUAUACAUUUACGAGUCUUUGGUUGUGUGCCUAUUGCACUACCACAAUGUACUGAAAUGAGGCAUCAUCGCUGAUUGGGUAUUAAUGUUGAACACCAUCUAUCAUUCAAUAUUUGGAACCCUUCACUGGGGAUAUGUUUACCGCGUGGUUUGUGAACUAUCAUUUUGAUAAGAUAAUUUUCCCGUCGUUAGAGGGAGAAAAUAACAUCGUUCCAGAAGAACAAUGAGAAAAUAUCAUUCCAGAAGAAUGAUGAGAAAAGACCGUUCCAGAAGAACGAAAAUAAUUUGUCUUAUUUUGAUUCACGAAGCAAUCAAUGUGAAAAUGAAUUUUUGAAUAAUUGAAUAAUGCAAUGAUGUGUCAAUCAAAUGCCAGAUGCAUUUAAUAAUGCAACGAAAGUGAUAAAAUCACAUAUACUUACUGCAAAUGUGCGUACAAGAAUUAAUGUCUAUGUUGGACAAUAUAAUGAGGCAGUAAAUAAUUUAUAUUGCAUACCUGAAGCGUGGCAGGCCCUUAGACUCAAAAGGUUCAGUCAUUCGAAAGAAGAAUAAUAUAGCACUACUAAACUAUUGCAUUCCCGAAGCAUAACUGUUGCAUGCCCGAAGCAUGACAGUCACUGCAUGGAUACACGUCAUAGAAAGGACAAUCCGCAGACAUGGGAAUGUUAAUGUCUCAUGCAUGAAUCAUGAUAGACAUAUAAGUUCCAAUGACUCAACUCUCGGAAGUGGAGAUUAAAAAUCCUAGCUCUAUAACGCUCAAGAAGAGGUUAUGAUCCACAUUCUCUAAAUUAUGACUAUCCUGGAAGAGAUAGUGUAAUGCCCUUGAAGAGGCAAUGGAUAUCCAAAAGAAAUAAAAAGCUUUUAUGCAUGCGCAUGCAUAUGAGAAUAUGGGAUCACGAAUUGAUGAUAACCAAUUGUAAUUUUGGUUUUACAAGUAGCUACUAAAUUCAUCAAUGAGCUGUGUUAAUAUUGAGUCCCGUUCUUUUCCGUCAACAAAAUUUAUUGGCCAAAAAUGGAGAAAGACAAUUCCAUUACAAUCUUGUAAGAACGUGAAAAAAUUGACUUAUACUUUAAUACAAUACAAAUAGCCAAAAGAUGUUAAACCAAUGAGGUUACAUUGGGCAUUUGUAAUACAGUGAAAUACAAUUACAUGAUAUGACACAAGGUUACUAAUUGAAACUUGAAAUUAUACUCUGGUAAACAAGUUCAUAUGAAUGGAGAAUUACAUACAAAAGGUUAUGAGUCGCCCACAUCAUAUCUCCAUGAGUAAAUCCCUCAAGUAUACAUGGAAGCAAGUUGUUCUGUAUAAAUUCCAAAGGAGAAUGUGUCAUGAAGUGUAGAAAAUCCCUGAAGGAUUCAAAUUGCUUGAAGUAAGCCCUAGAAGGGUAAAACAUAAAUUAUGUACUCCAUACCAAUGGAUGAUAUAAAUUACCUUACCGAGUGUUAUCAUUAUGAUAUUGUUGCAACAUACUAAAAUCUCUUGCAAGAGUCAAUGACAUUAAAUUAGAACUCAUGAAGAGUCAAUGAGAUUAAAUUAGAACUCCUAAAAAGUCAAUGAUAUUAAAUUAGGACUCCUUAAGAGUCAAGAAAUAUUAUCAAGUGUUGAGAGGAAUAUUGUCUUGAACUGCAGAUCGAACAAUAUGCCAACAUGAAUUUUAUCCAUAAUGUUUAUGAUAUUAAAGAAUCAUAUGGAUUGAAGAUUAUGAGUUGAAUACUCAAAUGAUGUAGACACUAAGAACGAUCAUUUAUUUUUCUGAGGGUAAAGAUAAAUUGAUAUUUGGUCCAGAAGUACCACAUCUUAGUGAAGUAUAUCCUUAUUGUAUUUGGCACAAUACAUGGAAUGAAAUCAUUUAUCUAUUGAUAUCUCCGAGAAAUUAUACAUAUGUGCAUAUAUAUGAGUUAAAAACAAACAAAUAGGAUGAAGCCUUCACAAAUGUUGCUCAUGUGAAGCCUUAGUACUCGGCAGUACCCCAGAAAGAGGAGGCACUGGAGAUUGAUCAUGUGACGCCUCAGUAUUUGGCAAAACACCAGAACGGGAAGGCAUUAGUUGCCUUCAGAAUCUAGCAACAAACCUCUGGUGAUCACUUUGAAUCUGACUUUUGGAUUCCUAUAGUUGGUCGAGCUUUCUCUUCAUGCUCGUCGAGUAAUUAUUGGCAAGCACAUGUAACACUCUAUUCUCGUGCUUGAACCCUCCGAUCUCUUGUUUAAGACUUACCACAUCAGCCAUCAAUGAUUCAACUUGGCGAGUUUGAGCAAGUAGGCGUUGGUCCAUAUUGGAAACAGAGCCAGCACACUGAACACUGAGAGUCAAUGAGUCUUGAACGGCCGAUUCAUCAGACCGUUUUGAAAGGAUUGUGUUAUCCUUUGGAGUGAGAAUAUUCCUAGCUACUACUGUAGCGGUUAUGUUAUUCUUCAUCAUAGAGUCCCCAACCGUAAGAGAACCAUUAGAAGAUAAGAAGGACAGGCGCCAUAUGUUAUCCUGACGCUGCUCGUCUGUAUCACUUAUAAGACUCAAAUCUAAGCAAAUGUUAGAUGGGCAAGCCAUUUUCAAAAAUGAUGAAAGAAAAAUGAGGUCAAAUAAAAUCUCAGAAGUGCAAGAAGAGGAAAAUUUCUACAGGCAGCAACUUUCCGAGCAUACAUUUUGAGCACAAUUAACGUCUCUAUAAAAUAAGAAGCAACAGAGCCACUUGUUCAGAGAUCGAAGAGACACUGCUCUCCGAAUUUCAAAAGCCAGAUGUUCCUGAAUAAAGUUUGUUAGCAUUUUUUAGACGCAAUCUCAUGUUUUUCGGAUAUCGCGUGCAACUUUAUCAAAGAUCUCUGACAAAGUUGAAAACGCGUAAAUUUUACUGUUCUAAUUACACCACAGUUGCUGACAAGAGUAAAGGCACAACACCACUACAUGUUACUUGGAAAUCUCUACAUAUGUCGACCUAUGUUCUCCAUAACAAGGCAGACCUGCAAGAAUAUUUAACUCUUCCUCAUCUCCAAGAAUGCAUCUUCAACAAGCAUCUUGAAAUACUCAGUUUUCUUCAUCUCCGAAAAUAUUCAACAAGCAUCUUCAACAAGCAUCUUGAAAUAUUCAGUUUUCUUCAUCUCCGAAAAUACCUCUUCAAAACAAGUCACACCAGAGCAAGAGUAUCUUAUAUCAUCAGGGACAAGAGCAAGAGUAUUUCAUAUCAUGCAAUCUCCCUGUCCUUUCCUUUAUCCUUGUCCUUACCUACCAAGACAAGGAUAAAGAAAGCAAUAUGUCGGAACCUCCAGUCUAACUUCCAGUAAGGAACCGACUGCCUGGAACCUUUCCUGAUUGCUUACCUAGCAUUGGUCUCGAGUAGUCAUCUUCAAAUGUCGACAUGAUGUUGGCUAUUUACACUAAAGCUGUCAAGCAUGAUGAGUAGCAAAGGUUUGCAUUCCACUCCUGCAUCAGUGGACAAAUACUACAAGAGAAGAGGCCACAUAUGCAUGGAGAAAAACCAAGGAAAAUACAACUUCUGCAAGGGGAACAGAUAAGGCAAGCAAAAAUGAUACAUUGAAACAUGUGGAAACAAGAGCUACAAACACGUGCCGAUUCAUCCCUGACAAAGCCGAAGAUCACUUGCCACGUGAAGCUCUUCGUGGUCCAAUUUCAUUCAAGAUCAAGCAUCGAUGGCCUUUGAAGAAAUCACAAGUCCGAUUCAAGAUCAAGUAUCCACCACCCUUGAAUCAAAUUCAGCUCCAGAUAAAAAAAAGUAAAUUCAGACAUUUGGAGGAAGUAUAGCAGAAGGCCCUCCAGCCCAGUUCAAGAACAAGCAUGUGGAAAGUUAACUACAAGUACAACACCUCUUUUGGCAACUCUUCUCGCUAAGAGACUGAAGCAGAAUGAUUAACAAUCAGCCUAAAUGAUUUGAAAUCAGGGGGAGAUACUCAUCAGGGAGAGCAUCCAAAACAAAUCAAGAUUUUAACGAGUCAAUUAAAUACUUGUGGCCAUCCAAGGGGGAGUGUUGUGAAUAAUAUGUGGAUGGCCCACAUAAAUGAUUUGUUACUAUUUAUGCACAGUAUUUUCACUAUUCAUUUGUAGAAAAUUUGUAAAGUGAAUAGUAUUCUCUUUGCUUAUAAAAUGAAUGAGAGGUGAAAAAGGAGGAUACAUACGACUGAGGAGAGAAACCAAACGGAAGAGGAAGAGAGAAAAGAGAGGAAGAAGAUAGGAGAUAAUAGAGAGAAUUAUUUUUGUACUCCUAUUAUUCCAAAUUAUAAAGAAAGCACCACUACUGCCCCGAGGACGUACUCCAAUCACAUUAACUGUAGAGGAACCUCAUAAAUUUUGUGUUUUGUUUAUUUAUUCCACUGCAUACACCGUCGAUUUUACAACAAUUACAUCAAUUUAAUGAAAAAGUUUGUACACAUCAAUUCAAAAAUUCCUAUUGAAAGGAAACAAAUUGCUGCAAUUGCAUUAGUACACCAUUACGGUACAUACCUCAACAAUCCCUAAUCUCAACAAUCCCCUCAACCAUUACACGAAAAGGUCUGACCUCAACAAUCUUCUAAUCUCAAAUCAAAAUUCAAAAUUCAAAUCGGAACUCUAAUCCCCAUUUCAAAAUCCCAAAUCGAAAUCCUAAUUGAAAUAUGACGAAUUAAAGGGAAAAUUUCUUACAUUGAGCGAGACUUGAUCGAGAGAGAGAGAGUCGGAGAGGAGUCGAGAGAGACGUGUGGUGUCGUGGGUGUGAUGUGUCGGAGUUGAGAUCGACUGAGAGAGAGAGUCGACAGAGGUGAAACACAGAGAGAGGUCGAGAGAGAGGGUGGGUGGGGCCAGAGUCGAGAUCAGGUAGUUUGGGCCUAAGUGGGCCGAGUCGAAAGAGACAAAAAUCUGGUUACUGGGUUAAGGAAGAAGAGAAGACGAACUGAAGAGAAGAUGGUCAAGAGAGAGAAACAGGCCGAGAGACAAAAAGAGGAGUUUCAAAAGAGAGAGAUAGGGGAGGAGUGGGAAAUCAGGCAACGGAGUUAGGGGAGGAGGAGAGCUCGAGGAGUCGAGAGAGAGUUACGAACCACUUAC
rnacentral:lncRNA from 1 species